rnacentral:ncRNA from 1 species
GGUCAAGUUAUUAAGGGCGCAGGGCGGAUGCCUUGGCACUAAGAGCCGAUGAAGGACGCGAUAAGCUGCGAUAAGCUUCGGGGAGUUGCACGUAAACUUUGAUCCGAAGAUUUCCGAAUGAGGAAACUCACUUAGAGUAAUGUCUAAGUAUCAUUAAGUGAAUACAUAGCUUAAUGAGGGGAACCCGGGGAACUGAAACAUCUAAGUACCCGGAGGAAAAGAAAGAAAUUCGAUUCCGUAAGUAGCGGCGAGCGAACGCGGAAUAGCCCAAACCAGUGAAGUUUUCUUCGCUGGGGUUG